rnacentral:rRNA from 1 species
UGGAGAAUAUUGGACAAUGGGCGAAAGCCUGAUCCAGCCAUGCCGCGUGUGUGAAGAAGGUCUUCGGAUUGUAAAGCACUUUAAGUUGGGAGGAAGGGCAGUAAGCGAAUACCUUGCUGUUUUGACGUUACCGACAGAAUAAGCACCGGCUAACUCUGUGCCAGCAGCCGCGGUAAUACAGAGGGUGCAAGCGUUAAUCGGAAUUACUGGGCGUAAAGCGCGCGUAGGUGGUUCGUUAAGUUGAAUGUGAAAGCCCCGGGCUCAACCUGGGAACUGCAUCCAAAACUGGCGAGCUAGAGUAGGGCAGAGGGUGGUGGAAUUUCCUGUGUAGCGGUGAAAUGCGUAGAUAUAGGAAGGAACACCAGUGGCGAAGGCGACCACCUGGGCUCAUACUGACACUGAGGUGCGAAAGCGUGGGGAGCAAACAGG